rnacentral:rRNA from 1 species
CAUUCACGGAGAGUUUGAUCCUGGCUCAGGACGAACGCUGGCGGCGUGCUUAACACAUGCAAGUCGAACGAUGAAGCCCUUCGGGGUGGAUUAGUGGCGAACGGGUGAGUAACACGUGGGCAAUCUGCCCUUCACUCUGGGACAAGCCCUGGAAACGGGGUCUAAUACCGGAUAAUACUUUCUCCCUCCUGGGAGAAGGUUGAAAGCUCCGGCGGUGAAGGAUGAGCCCGCGGCCUAUCAGCUAGUUGGUGGGGUAAUGGCCUACCAAGGCGACGACGGGUAGCCGGCCUGAGAGGGCGACCGGCCACACUGGGACUGAGACACGGCCCAGACUCCUACGGGAGGCAGCAGUGGGGAAUAUUGCACAAUGGGCGAAAGCCUGAUGCAGCGACGCCGCG